rnacentral:rRNA from 1 species
UCUAGAAGCUUCGGCAAUGGGGGAAACCCUGACCGAGCGACGCCGCGUGCAGGAUGAAGGCCUUCGGGUUGUAAACUGCUUUCGACAGGGAAGAAGGGCGUUUGGGAUAAUACCCCGAUCGUUUGACGGUACCUGGAGAAGAAGCCUCAGCUAAUUCCGUGCCAGCAGCCGCGGUAAUACGGGGGAGGCAAGCGUUAAUCGGAUUUAUUGGGCGUAAAGGGCGCGUAGGCGGUUUCUUAAGUCAGGUGUUAAAGACCACGGCUCACCCGUGGGGCUGCGCCUGAUACUGAGGGGCUGGAGUGCAGCAGAGGCAAGCGGAAUUCCCGGUGUAGCGGUGAAAUGCAUAGAUAUCGGGAGGAACACCAGUGGCGAAGGCGGCUUGCUGGGCUGUAACUGACGCUGAGGCGCGAAAGCCAGGGGAGCGAACGG